AGUAACGGCGAGUGAAGCGGCAACAGCUCAAAUUUGAAAUCUGGCUCUCGGGCCCGAGUUGUAAUUUGUAGAGGAUACUUUUGAUGCGGUGCCUUCCGAGUUCCCUGGAACGGGACGCCAUAGAGGGUGAGAGCCCCGUCUGGUUGGAUGCCAAAUCUCUGUAAAGUUCCUUCAACGAGUCGAGUUGUUUGGGA
rnacentral:rRNA from 3 species